AGGACGAACGCUGGCGGCGUGCUUAACACAUGCAAGUCGAGCGGAAAGGCCCUUCGGGGUACUCGAGCGGCGAACGGGUGAGUAACACGUGAGCAACCUGCCCUCAGCUCUGGGAUAGCUCCCGGAAACGGGAAUUAAUACCGGAUAUGACCCUGACCGACAUCUGUCAGGGUGGAAAGGUUUACCGGCUGAGGAUGGACUCGCGGCCUAUCAGCUAGUUGGUGGGGUAACGGCCUACCAAGGCGACGACGGGUAGCCGGCCUGAGAGGGCGACCGGCCACACUGGGACUGAGACACGGCCCAGACUCCUACGGGAGGCAGCAGUGGGGAAUAUUGCGCAAUGGGCGAAAGCCUGACGCAGCGACGCCGCGUGGGGGAUGAAGGCCUUCGGGUUGUAAACCCCUUUCAGCAGGGACGAAGCGAGAGUGACGGUACCUGCAGAAGAAGCGCCGGCUAACUACGUGCCAGCAGCCGC
rnacentral:rRNA from 1 species